GCGUCCGUGGCUAAACGGAUACAGCAGUCCCCUCCUAAGGGAAAGAGUGCGAGUUCGAGUCUCGCCGGGCGCA
rnacentral:tRNA from 1 species